UACGUAGGGGGCAAGCGUUGUCCGGAUUAUUGGGCGUAAAGAGCGUGUAGGCGGCCAGACAGGUCAGCUGUGAAAACUCGAGGCUCAACCUCGAGACGUCGGUUGAAACCGUCUGGCUAGAGUCCGGAAGAGGAGAGUGGAAUUCCCGGUGUAGCGGUGAAAUGCGCAGAUAGUCGGGAGGAACACCGGUGGCGAAGGCGGUUCUCUGGGCCUUACCUGACGCUGAGGAGCGAAAGCGUGGGGAGCGAACAGG
rnacentral:rRNA from 1 species